rnacentral:lncRNA from 1 species
CAGGAAUUAAAUUUUAUAUGUCAGACAUUAAAAAAAGGGGAUUAAUAAAUUCUACAUUGAGUUUCUUGUAACAAAGAAUUAAUCCUGUUCCUGUAUGGUAAAGAAACUUAGAUGUUGUUUUUUUCGGGUUUUUUUUUUUUGUUUUUUUUUUAUUAUUUCAGUUGAAAAAUUGUGUUCCUGCAAAACUCUCGGGCUGAUAUUGGUGUCUCAGGAUGAUACCAGGGCCAAUAUGGAAAAGGUCAUGUUAUAAUCUCUAAGUACACAUCUGUUCAGAAUAAGUAAAUUCAUUGCAUUAUGUAUAGAGUGCUACGCUUUUUGCUGAACAAAACACCUAGAAAAAUUCUUUGAGGGUUUAUAAGGUAGCCUAUUUCUGUCCUUAUCCAAUUCAUUUACUCUUAUUUUCUAGUACUAUUCUGCAAUUCCCUCCCUUGAUCACAGUCGACUACGGGAUCUAACUUUUGGUUGAAGUACUCAUAUUCAUUCAUACCCAUUCUGAACAUGUAUGAGAGAUUUGCCACUGGAAUAAAACAAUAUUUAAUCAAUCAAACACCCAUAAAUGUAAUAAUGUUGAUGAAAGAGCCCACAAAAUUAAAUAAGAUAAUUUCAAUGGGACGAUUAGUAUGCGGAUUCGUU